rnacentral:ncRNA from 1 species
UUUGCUAGGGGUGCUUUUUUUAGCUGAGAGACCAUUUAAUAAUGGUUAACCCUUCGAACCUGAUUUGGUUAAAGCCAGCGUAGGAAAGCUAUUUUU